rnacentral:sRNA from 1 species
CAACCGUAAUAUUUUUGAAUACCCCAAACUUCAAUAUAUCAUCAAUAUUCAACACCAUGUUUAUCUAUAAUAUAAAGAUCAUCUAUAUACUCUGUAGAUACAAUAGAAUCUGCCACAGGUUGAGAUUCAUUAGAAUUAUUGUGUUGUGGUUGAUUUUUUGUGAUCCUAGGGGGUUUGAUUCCAACUGCUUGAAGAGCCCUAUUAUGCUCUCUUUUUGAUUUCUCUGCUUUUUCCGCCUGCACCAUACUACCCUUGAAGAUCUUGUUCAAACACUUGGUUAACCCAGGUGUAAGAGAGUUCUUCACAUUCUGUAUAGCCUUCUCUGCAGCAUCAAUUUGAUGAUGUAAUUUUGCAACUGUGUCAGAGGAUGUCAACUGAGAAGAAGCAGUUGAUGGUCAAUUCAUGGAUGGUGGGGUAAAUUGACUGCAGAUAUCACCAUCUCCAUUAUAUACCUGCAAAUCUGAACCAUCUUGUAGAGUGUGUGAUUUCAAAUGAUUGAGUAUUACAUUGUGAUUAAUAGAGUAGAUUCCACAGUCUGCAAAGCCAGCUUUAAUAGUUGAGGAUUUGAAAGUCUGCUGAUGAAUGCUGUGUAGAUUAGCAAGGAAUUGUCUUUCAUCAUAUUGUUCAUAUCCAUAGCAGGUGGCCUCAUUAAUUGCUUUUGUAUGAUAGUGUUUAUAUUGUUGAAAAGGCACGCUGUCAAGAGGUUGCAAUAUAUGACUUGUAUG